rnacentral:rRNA from 1 species
UUCGGUCUUUGAAGCGAGUUGGCACCACCUCUUCCCUUUCCGAACAGAGAAGUGAAACAACUCAGCGCCCACGAUACUGGCGGGCUUAGCCCGAUGGGACAAUGGGUCAAGGCCGGGA